GAGUUUGAUCCUGGCUCAGAUUGAACGCUGGCGGCAGGCCUAACACAUGCAAGUCGAGCGGUAGAGAGAAGCUUGCUUCUCUUGAGAGCGGCGGACGGGUGAGUAAUGCCUAGGAAUCUGCCUGGUAGUGGGGGAUAACGCUCGGAAACGGACGCUAAUACCGCAUACGUCCUACGGGAGAAAGCAGGGGACCUUCGGGCCUUGCGCUAUCAGAUGAGCCUAGGUCGGAUUAGCUAGUUGGUGAGGUAAUGGCUCACCAAGGCGACGAUCCGUAACUGGUCUGAGAGGAUGAUCAGUCACACUGGAACUGAGACACGGUCCAGACUCCUACGGGAGGCAGCAGUGGGGAAUAUUGGACAAUGGGCGAAAGCCUGAUCCAGCCAUGCCGCGUGUGUGAAGAAGGUCUUCGGAUUGUAAAGCACUUUAAGUUGGGAGGAAGGGCAGUAAAUUAAUACUUUGCUGUUUGACGUUACCGACAGAAUAAGCACCGGCUAACUCUGUGCCAGCCGCCG
rnacentral:rRNA from 1 species